CAGUCAGCUCAGAACUGG
rnacentral:snRNA from 1 species